AGGGUUGCUUUGCCUGUGCUGCCUCUGAGCCGAGCUCUUGUCUCAGAAGAAGCGUUUUCAGCUUUAAAAUCAGUCAGAACGUCUUUUUUCACUGGUAAAGAUUUUCUCCCGGUCAGGGAGAAACGUGAGAUUAACCACAAAGCCUGUUUUUGUGGGGAGGACUGGAUUUCAUUUAUUUAUGAGAAAAGGUUCAAACUGCAAUGUCGGACAGACUUUCAUCAAGCUCUAGCUAGGUGGAAGAAGGGGGGAGAGGCAAUUUUUGCCAAUUCCUCCAUCCCUUGAAAAUCUACCCUGGAGAGUUGGAAAACCCUACAGAACCACAUGGGAUGAGACACUGACAGCUGCAAGGAAGAGGGAGAAUCAGCAAAAAUCACCUCCACCCAUGGGAGAUUCAACCCACAGAACAGCAGUAUGGACCUGUCCAGUUACAGAUUUAUCCUCUCACCUGUGAAAACCAGGCUUUCAGCACAGCUACAGCACCAUUUACAUUCCCAUGUACAGAACAGGACAGCACAGCACAAGUCAACAGAGGGUAAGGUGUGAGACAAGAAGAAGGAAGAGGGAGGAACCUAAGCAUGGGAAGACAGGAGAAGCCCAUAGGAGGGAUGCUACGAUGAACUGGGCUCCUGAGUUCUGAGAACAGAAGGCCCAUCAAGCCUCCUCUGAAGCAAGAAUGGCCUGCAUUCUGAGGAACCUCAAGAGGGUGGGUUAGAGGGGAGACCAGCUCACUGUAAAGUGCAACGCUGAACCUCUAAAAUUGCCCAUGAUGCUAUUUAGACUUCCAAAUAUUUAAUACUUAUCAGAACACUUCUUAUUUCACUAUUUCAACAGAUGGCUUAAGAUAUCACUUAUAGAAGUGAGAUUUUGGGAGCCCCACAAUAUGGACUUUCUCUAUAUCAAUAGAAAUACUGCACAUGAGACUACAAAGUUUUAAUUUUGGGCUCCUGAGCUAGUUUGAAAAUGCCUAUUGAAGUACCACUUUUAACUGUUUGCAAAAGCUUUUAAAAACAAGUAUUUGUAAGAACUAAUUGCUGUUCUCCCACUCCCAAAGCCUGUUAUACUCUGAAAUGCAAAAUAGGUGAAGAGCAUUGAGAAUAGAUUCCCUCAAUGGGAGGAAAUUCUUGCAGAGAGAUUUUCACACCAAGUAGCUUACAAGGUUUCAUUUUAUUCACAACUGCUGUAUUUGGUCUUUAUUUUAAUGUGACAUUUGCUUAACUUCCCUAGAUUCAAUUGCCAAAGAUUUAUACCAGUGUUCUUUAAGCUAUGUUGUAUUGUUUGGUCAUCCUUUUUGGAUUCCACCACCUCAUGACCCCCAGGAGGGACUACUAAAAAAAAUCACAAAGUAAAACCCAAUUCCUUCUACACACUGAUGCAGCUUUAUUGCUUGAUUACAGGAGAAAUGCUGCUAGGGAGCACAUAGCUGAUGCUAGGCUUGUGCGUAUUUUCCAUCGUUUGUCAAUCAUUGCAAAGCAACCUAAUACCACCUACCUGUUGUGUGAUAACCCUUACCCUUCCCCCUAUGUAUUCCCUUCAACUGCCUCAAAAGGAGAGAAAGGACUAGAAUUUUAAUUUAAUGUCCAUCACAGUUUGCUCUGGAAAUGUACCCUCAGCAUUUUUCUUAUUUUCAUCAUUUUUAUCAAUAACUACUUGAAAACAUGCUGUGCCUCCCUCGUGGUCUGUGGACUGCAGUUUAAGAAUCACCAAUUUAUACCAUCAUGCUUGGAUGUAAAGCCACCGUUAACAUCAUGGACUUCUAAUGCUGGUCUUUCCAGUGAUGUUUACUGCUCCAGCCUUUGGAAUGGAAUGUUAAUGGCGUAGCCCAUUUAUAUACAUAUCUACAUGUCUGUCUGAAAGUAGUUAAAUACAGCUGAGGUAUACUGGCACUCCUCCUAAAGAAAAUAGUUUGGCCUAAGAAGAUAUUAUUUUUACAUAAUUCUUCUUUCCCACCACAAAAUUUUAACUUACUUUUUUUACUCUAGUGGUGAGGUCUUGAACAAAGAGUUUGCGUAAGUUAUGGAGGGUCUGAAGUUCUCUAGCCUGUAAAUAUGUUUAAGAAAACAUUACUUUAACACAAUCUAUUUCCACUAACUGGUAUUUCUCAAAACAUGGUAAAACAAAUCUCUUAGUUCUUUAUAUAUUAAUUGCACAUUCAUGCACACUGUAUAACACAAUAAAUUAGCACAAUAAACAUUGUCAACCAAUUAAAAAAAUCUUAGUCCAU